CUGCAGCCGUUGCCGAGGCACUGUUUUGGUUCUUAAGAAAGGAUCCUCGCUGUUGCCGCUGCUGCUGAUAGCAAACCAGAUCAUUGUACAAAGUCGAAACGUCGAAACUCGAAAGUUCUUGCUGCUUUCUUCAUAGUUUUCCUUAUGUUUUUGGAAUAAAUUUAAACGCAUAAUCAAAUAUUGUGUGCUACCUGACAACUUUCAACAAUGUUAAGUUUACAGAAGUGUGAAGUGAAAUUGAUGUCACACCAUGUUCUUUUAACUUAUGACUUGAAAGCAAUAUUGCAUUAAAAGAGGAAUAUGCUAGCGGCUUUGGCUACAACAGUAACUCCACAUAUUCUUCUGUAUUCAUCGAGCAGCCUUAAUUGGAUAUGGGAGCAGGAGUUCUCACCUUUCGAUAUUCCAUCUCCCAGAAGUUCCCCUAGCCCUGUUAAGGAUCAAAGACUGACGCCGAUCAUCACCCGAUCAGAUUUGGAGUUUUUAAUUGUAGCUGUAUGCGGUGUGUUGGCGGCUUCUUGGUGAAGACGGGAUGAUCAUGAUUUGGGCAUUUUGGUGAGUAGAUGAGGCGUAAGUCUCGAGCUCAUCUAGACCAUUUUUAUAUUGUUUGUUGUAUCAAUCGAGUCUCAACGAGCUAGAGCGCGAACGUCUUCGCGUUAGUUUAAUUUUAACGUUCUUCUUUCCAUUUCUGAUUUUAACGCUAAGAUGGCUUCGUGGUCUUUUAUUAUUUUCAGCUGUCAGUUUCAGUUACUUUUAAACAUCGGCAGUCACUAUGAGAUAAUUUUAGGUGAUAAUUGAUAUUUAUUGCUCCAGCAAUAAAGCUCACUUGUUUAAUUUUCGUUAUUUUGCUUUUUGUCUACUUCCGGUUUCUCAUUUUAAUAGUUAAUCGUUCUGUAAAUAUUCAUGUGACAAACAAAAGAACCGAAUAUUCGUGAUCCCCGUCCCAUUAGGAGUCUUUUGAUUUUGGUUAUUGUAGACCCAUCCCCAGGAACGUCAACCUAAAGAAGGAAAGGCCAGUUUGCAUUUUCUUCACGCUCGAAGGUCGAAACAAAAACGUAAAACGUGUCAUGCGACGGGGGAGAGGUUGGGUGAGGACGACACGUGUUGCAUCAUUAUCAAGCAGACCCACCCCCAGCAACGGAAACCUACAGAAGGAAAAGGCCAGUUUGCAUGUCCUUGACGUUCGAAGGGAGAUCAUUACGUAAAACGUGUCAUGCGGUGGUUAAGAG